UACCUGGUUGAUCCUGCCAGUAGUCAUAUGCUUGUCUCAAAGAUUAAGCCAUGCAAGUCUAAGUACGAGCUCUCGUACAGUGAAACUGCGAAUGGCUCAUUAAAUCAGUUAUGGUUCAUUUGAUCGUACAGUUUACUUGGAUAACUGUGGUAAUUCUAGAGCUAAUACAUGCGAGAAGCGCCGACCUCGCGGGAGGCGUGCAUUUAUCAGACCAAAAACCGGCCGCGUCUUCGGGCGCGUUCGCCUUGGUGACUCUGGAUAACUUUGCGGAUCGCACGGUCUAGCACCGGCGACGGAUCAUUCAAGUGUCUGCCCUAUCAACUUUCGUCGGUACGGUAUUUGCCUACCGAGGUUCUUACGGGUGACGGGGAAUCAGGGUUCGAUUCCGGAGAGGGAGCCUGAGAAACGGCUACCACAUCCAAGGAAGGCAGCAGGCGCGCAAAUUACCCAUUCCCGACGCGGGGAGGUAGUGACGAAAAAUAACAAUGCAGGACUCGUUCGAGGCCCUGUAAUUGGAAUGAGUACACUUUAAAAGCUUUAACGAGUAUCCAUUGGAGGGCAAGUCUGGUGCCAGCAGCCGCGGUAAUUCCAGCUCCAAAAGUAUAUAUUUAAGUUGUUGCGGUUAAAAAGCUCGUAGUUGGAUUUUGGGCGCAGGCGGCCGGUCCGUCGCAAGGCGUGUACUGGAAUUCCUGGCCUUCCCUCCG
rnacentral:ncRNA from 1 species